GACGAACGCUGGCGGCGUGCUUAACACAUGCCAGUCGAACGGGAAGGCCCUGCUUUUGUGGGGUGCUCUAGUUGCGAACGGGUGAGUAACCCUUGGGUAACCUGCCCUUGACUGUGGGAUAACUUCAGAAAACUUGGUCUAAUACCGCAUAGGAGCUCCUGCUGCUUGGUGGGGGUUGGUAAGUUUAGGUGGUUGGGGAUGGACUCGCGGCUUAUCAGCUUGUUGGUGGGGUAGUGUAUUACCAAGGCUUUGAAGGGUAGCCGGGCUGCGCGGGUGAGCGGCCACAUUGGGACUGGGCUACGGCCCAGCCUCCUCCGGGAGGCAGCAGUGGAGAAGAGUGUACUAUGGGCUGAAGCCAGACGCAGCACAGCAGCGCGGGGGAUGACGGGCAUCGGGUAGUAUACCGAUUUCGUCUGUCACGAAGCGUGAGUGACGGUAAUGGGUAAAGAAGCACCGGCUAACUACGUG
rnacentral:rRNA from 1 species